rnacentral:rRNA from 1 species
UACGCACCGGAGGCGAGGAAAAGAUAAAUGGCAAAGAUAGACCAAAGACAGACCAUAUUUAUGUUGCCACGACGGAUAAAGACAAAGCCGAAACAUGUACCCGGAUGCUAAAGACAUGAUCGCACGUGCGUGUUCUACAAGCCAGGUACGCCGAAGUUUAAACCGGGUGGAGCGCGCGACCGCUCCAACCAACCACUCUUUUUAUUUACACACCAACGACCCGGGCGAGCCGCUGUCGUCGCAGCUGGUAAUUCGCCGCGUACAAGCACAAACCCGGGGUCUUUCACCUGCCGUGGCGCGCCCCGCCCCCCGCCGUCGCGGCGAAGGGCGGUACCUGCCGUACCUCAAGAAGAAGCUCCUUAGACGUCGUCCCAAGCACGGCGCCAACCUGUCGUCUCAAACGAAUUCCCUAGAGCAACGGCCACUCGUUGACUGACUUCCGCCGUGUUCACCUUGUCUCCUACGCUCCUCCGAAACUAAAGAAGAGAUGGCUACCUAAUACUUCCCCCGCUUCCUCGACCAUACCCCCCACGCGCAGCAUACUAGAACCGUUGCUUCCCACCCGCUAAGGACGCUCUAUCCGCCACGUUUAUAUCAGGGACUACGGCGCCUGGUCCUAGGUCUGCUUCUACCGCACCCUCACAGCUCACGUUUGGUUAGAAGAACCUGGUCCUCCCAGUUUCAACCACACAGUGUCGGUUUUUGAUAGAAUUGUCUAGUUCGAGCGCGCUACCUUUAACGUUAUCCGCUACAGUACGGCGCCUGACGUGUAGCCACCACGUUUACCGUGCACGACUUCUUCCGUUUUCUCUCGGAACCCCGUGACUUUCCCUUCACUUAAGUUCGGUCUUAAGUCGUUCGAUCAGGUGGUGUAUCAAUCAUAACUACUUAAACUCUUCCCAACCCGUACGUACUAACUUUUUAUACCGGAGGUCUGGUUACGUAAGGAUUGGGUCGAAAUACUUCACUCCCCCUUCACCCACUUCAGUAUGAAGUACCCACACAAGACACGUUUCUACUGUUCAUACGUCGCUUCGCUCUCGCGUUUGGUGGAAGACUUUCCCAUACAUGGUGGUCCGACGGGGUACGUAAACAAGUAGGCCGUUAUACUCUUCUACGUUAAACUGCUGUUGAGUCUUCUUUCAAUGGUCCUCUUUUCCUGUUUUGAUCACUCAAACCUAAUCAGAAGAUAGUUAGAUAGACGAAAACUUUACGAGUCUAAAAAUCUUAGAUUUAAGCAGAACAACUCCAACAGUGAACACCCCCCUAACAGGACUUCGUUUUAUAGGGUCAGCUCCAUGUACGUAGCGUCCAAAUGUGGUCUUGUUACAAACUCUUUAAACCACUUCGUAACAUACACACACCCAGCAUACUAGAUCAUCUUCAGUUCGGGGUUAACCUCAUGUAACGAUCCGUGUAUUUUAAGGUCAGUUCCCUUUUCACCACGUUCUUACUCAAACAGUAGAGGCACUCACUCUGUUAGCUACUCAAGUCCACGCUCACACCUUGUAAACUCGUGAUACCUUACCAAACGUCAGUACGCGAAUUCCAGUACUAUGUGGAUUUUGACGUACUCGAGGGAGGCUUUGUACACGAGUUCGCUACCUGAUCUCUACGUUCUCUAUAUGAUGACGGCCUCAUAAACGCGAUGGUCUUCCUGGUACCCGGGGACUUCAUAAGAAGAGCAGCUGACAGAUAUUCAGAUACUCCUCAAACCAUAAAUGUCUCUUUCAGCUGGGGAUUUUUACUCCAAGAAGCCGACUUCUGAAACCUAAAGACUUCUGAAAGACUUCUGAAAUUUUCACUUCUUUAACCACACUGGAACUUCUGAACCAUAAGUGAACUCCUUGUACUUCGCACUUCUGAAAAACAAAAGCAUCAAAGUAAAAGAGAAAGAACUCAGUAUCUUUUGUAGCAUGACAAUUUCCCCCAGCUCCUUUAUGAUUCCUUUCUAGAGGUACACUACGAGUUGAGUUUUAGGAUGUGGAUGGAUAGGGAAGCUCACUUCGGUAACCUUUAGAGUAUGUCAAGUCAGUAUAAGCAGUCACUGUCUCUGCUUCAAGAAGACCAGCAACUCCUUAAACAAGACUGACUCCUCAAUCCUUAAGCGGUCACACCUAACGGAUGUGUCACUCCUUGUACUAUCGGGACUCCUUAAACUAUGAGUUUAAAGGCUGCAACGAUACGAUACGCGGUCGACAGGGUUUUAUAGAUGGGUGGAUUGCCAGUAUAGUAACUUCCCGUAAAUACAGAAUAGUACUGCCCGACGAGGGAUCCGAUAUUUAUCAGCGGGGGAUGUUGGUGAUCGACCAACCGACGAAGCUCUCUUUGACUGUGAACAGUUAACUCUCGUAGGGUAGGAGGCUCCUGAAACUCGCUUUUAGUAGUUCACUCCUUUUGGGUUUGGGUUUGUGCAUGUUUGGGGUUCACUAACUCGUAGUGACUUCUCUAACUAGGACGCACCUAGGCUGCGAACAAUGGAAACUUCUGACACGAAGAAGGUCUACCAAUCCGCAGUACCAGAUCUCGUAGGUUCUCCUUUAACACCUAUCGGCUCACUGGCUCAAACACUUCCAAACCUUCAGUGGACUUCUGAAUGGUGCUCAAUAACCCACUCCAGACACACUGGAAUCGACUUCCUCUUAUGCCACUCC